CCCUGUUGCCCAGGCACAGAGUCCGUUCUGCGAAGAAAGGCCACUGCCUGGCCCAUUCUGAUGUCAGAUAAGUUUCCUGCUGGGGUCUGAGGCCCUGAUUGUGUAAUUAGGAUCCAAAGAGUGUCUGUCUUUCCUGGGAUGGUCCCAACACUGGCCCUGAUCCUCCCCACCCAGGGGCCAAUCACAGGCCCUACUGGAGGCCCGCCCUUGUCCAGGAGGCUCUCUUGCCUGCCCUCUGCCCUCUCCAGUUCCCGGCCCCAGCUUUUACCUGCUUGGCAUUGCCAACCCAGAAGGUCACGGAGUGGAAAUGGAGGAAUCGGCCCCUCGCAGGCUGCAGAAGGAGAGAAGGGGAGAGGCUAAGUCUCUGGAGAUUUUAUUUUUCAGGCUCUGUGCUGACAGCAGAGAGACCGACACGGGGCUCGAACUCGCGAACUGUGAGAUCAUGACCUGAACUGAAGUCUGAUGCUUAACUGCUUGAGAUACCCAGGCACCCUGAGACUGAGUUUUUAACUUAAGAAAAGAUCUUUAGCUGAGGGAAUGGGAUCUGUCUCCAAGUUGUCACCUUGGAAGGCAGAGCACCUUAAAAUAAUAAUAAUAACAAAAACGCUGAUUUUCUGGUCACUGACUUAUGUGCCAGGCACCGUGCUAAGCACAUUAUAUAUUGUGCUCUUUACUCAUUAAAUCCCCAAAUAACCCUCAGAGGUAAGUGCUAUCAACAUCCCCAUUUUACAGAUUAGAAAACAGAGGCUCAGAGAGGUGUCUGAGCACAGCGAAAAAGUGACAGAACUGAGAAAUGAACCAGGCCUGACUCUCUCCAAAGCCUACAAGCUAGCCACUUCCAGCCAUGCUGUCAUUACUCAGAUAUUUUGGGAAAUGCUUUGGGAAUGACCUCUGAGCCCAUUUUCAAGCAGCAGGAAAAAACAAACAAACAAAAAAAAAUCCAGUUUCCUGGUUGUACUCAUUAAGACCUGGAGAAGUUCCUCUUCAUUUGGCCUCUGGCAGAGUCGGAAGGGCAGGCGUGGCAGGAGGCCAGGGUGGGCCCAGGAGGGAGCUAGGAGACCUGUGGGCAUGCGCAGGGGCUCCGUUGGCGGGCUGGAGAGGAAGGCUUUGUUCAGGCAGAGGUGGGUGCCCCGUCACUGAGCAACCUUCGGUCGGCAAUGACAGAUCCUUGGCAUUUGAGUGGAAGUCUCAUCUUCAAACGGCUUCUUCCUGCUGAACGAGGGGUGUAGAGAUGUCCCUACGUAUGGAUCAACAUUGGUCGGUUGGGAAUUUAUAUGUUGGGAUUAUGAAAGGCAGAGGCAGCUGUAUCCAAGGCAGAUAGCACGUGUGGAUUUUCCCGAGUGGAAAGGAUCAUCUGUCAGCUCAAACAUGUGGCCGUGAAGGAAUCUCGGCACCAGGCGGAGAGAGAUCUGGAAAAUAAGCUGAUUAUUAGGAUGAAAAAGAGAAGCCCUAAUUAAACAACUUUUGACCCAAA